rnacentral:sRNA from 1 species
CUUUAGCCCCGAUGGGAACGGCAUCCUGUGGUCCCGGGGUUCGGGGCCACAGAUACAGUGGACAGCGGGAACCAUC